CGGUAGCUUUCACUUUCAAAAGAGUGACAGGUGAAGAAUAUAAUCCCUUUUUCUUAUUUCAGGUUGGAGCCUAUGCAUGAUGUUUGGCGAAAGUAAGCCAUUUUAAAGAUAUUAGAAUCGUCUUUCAGUGACAGCAAAUAUAAAUACGUCAUUAAUAUGGCGCCAAAAGAGUUUAAAGUAUGAUCUUAUUUUGUUGUAAGGUUGCGCACCCGCCAGUGCAAUCGCACAAGAGAGAAGAACGCGAGCGAGCAAGGACGGAGCGAAUGAGCAGACUAUAUGUUUUUAGGUGGAACGUUGCCAAACGAGCCAGCUUGCUAUCUUUCAUGACUCAUUCUUUGAAAAUUAGGCAUAUUUUUUUUCUCUACUGGAUUUGAGGAAAACAUACUCCCAUGACAAAUCAGGACCUGGGGAAUACCACAUUGGAUUUGGACUAUUUUCGAAAUGCGACAUGGCUUUCAAAAUGAUAUUUGUUAGCUUACCUUGCUGUACCAUAGCUAGCGUACAGUAGAACCGACUUGCUGGAUGCGGCUAUCUUGCAAGCACGUUCGCUAGCUAGAGAAUUUGGAUUUAAGGAUGAUAUACUCCUAAAGUCAGCUAAAUGUAGCUAACUGCAUUUAGCUGAUACCUGCGAAUGCGGACAUCGCAGGUUUGUUGACUGUUAUGUUAUACUGUCGGAUAGACUAUCAUGGCGUAAAUUUGUCAAUUGGUACUUUUUAUUUUGACUCUUGGGAGAGCAUCUGACGUGCUGUCAACACCAUACAGCCUCGCAGGCAUAGUCCUGUCACCAACGUGAAUAGACAGGGGGCUAACUAACUAGCUCGCUAGCUAGGGAGUCGAGGACGUUUCGCAGCCCGACCCUGACUGCAAUCAAGAUAAAAAGAUGGAGAGGGAGACGAAGAGGAGAAAAUACUCCAGCAGUAGCAAUGACUCGGACACCACGGACACCACUGGCAGUCAAGUGACCUCCUGGUCCAAGUCCUCCAAGAACACAGGGACCAGCAGCACCUGGGUCAGACAGGUGCACAAUAAACCCUCUGAGGUGAGUGGCUGCCCACUCCAUAUUGUAUACAACUCACUGGCUGUGUCCCAAAUGGCACCCUAUAGUGCAUUACUUUUCACCAGGGCCCACAGUGUGACUGACUGACUGACUGACUGUCCGACCGACCGACUGACGAUUAUGUUGUGUGAG
rnacentral:lncRNA from 1 species